GGACGAGGAGGAAGUGGCUGUGUGAGCGAGUUUCUGCGCAAAUGCAGCUGUCAGAGCUCAGGACUUGAAAAGCGAAUCCAUUUCCAAACUUUGAAGGUGUUGGAUAACAUUUCAUCUGAUGCAAGUUCACCCGCUGUGUCACCAAAUAACAGGAGAUGGAUACAAGCAAGA